UACGUAGGGAGCAAGCGUUGUUCGGAUUUACUGGGCGUAAAGGGCGCGUAGGCGGCAUAUUAAGUCAUCUGUGAAAUCUCCGAGCUUAACUCGGAACUGUCAGCUGAUACUGAUGUGCUAGAGUGCGGAAGGGGCAAUCGGAAUUCUUGGUGUAGCGGUGAAAUGCGUAGAUAUCAAGAGGAACACCUGAGGUGAAGACGGGUUGCUGGGCUGACACUGACGCUGAAGCGCGAAAGCUAGGGGAGCAAACGGG
rnacentral:rRNA from 1 species